GGGGUUGUGGCUCAGAGGUAGAGUGCUCACCUAGCAUGUGUGAGGCACUGGGUUUGAUCCUCAGCACCA
rnacentral:tRNA from 1 species